ACGUAGCAUUUUGUCUCUGACGACUGUGGCUGUCAGGAAGGUAGGUUACCUUACAGUGACGUCAUCCAUUAAAACACUACACGGUUAUGUGAUCAAAGAGAUCAGACACAUUCAGAGAGAAAGGCUUCAACCUUCCAUGCACACACACACGCACACGCACAGGCACACACACACACACACACACACACACACACACACACAGUAUGCCCUUUUGUGCUAUUUCCACACAUCGCCUCGGUUUGUCAGCAGGAUUGUUUCAAUUUAAAGAAGCAGUUUUCAUGUUUCUUUGUUAAAAACCAACGUAACGAUAAGAUUGGUCUGUAAACCCCCCCAGAAGCAUCUAAGGCAGGAGCAGCCGAAAGGUUAAACAUGUGAGGCGCCCUGCAGAGUUUCUGACCACCAGAAGCGCUUCGAUAUCACACUGUUCAGGUGGUUCGCCAACAAAGGCGCAGAAGGAAAAAAAACAACCUAACAAACACGUAUGUAAAUAUUACAUGAUUUAAAAUGUUUAAUUAAUGAGGAGGGAAAACACAUUCACGGACAAAUUGUUACGCACUAGCCCUUUCACAAAGAAUCAGAACAUUUGUAUUUAUUCCAGGUAAAUUCCUUUGUAUUUUGUAUUUUACAUGCAGGAUAUUCUAGUAAUUUUUUUUAUCAACUAACUCAGUUUUGUGUUACACUUUUACCCUAUACUCAUUUGAGUUUUUCACGGAUGCUGUGGCUCUGCGUUCAUCCUUUGUGUAUCACAUCCAGAUCCUGCAACUUUUCCAAUGAAUGUUUCACCGUCACCCCCUCGGUGUUUCUGGUAAUCAUCCAAUGGCAAUACUGUAAUGUCAUCGCGUAUCUCCUUCCACUUUUCUUGUGGCGUGGCCUUAUUGAGUCUGUGACAUGAAAAAUGACCCCCGUUUCUCACUUUACAUGCUCAGUUCCACAGACGACUGCUGACGAGUUGGGUUCCGCAGACAUUUCUGAAAGUCACGAGACACAGUGUCGGUCGCGUCGUCUGAGGCGUGAUUACCCCGGGAGAGCGUCCGUGAAUGCCCACGGAUUGUGGUCGGGUGCCAUGAAACGAUCGCAGAAGAAGAGGGUGCAAUGGUGAUGACAUUAGAAAAUCUCCGACAAUCAAACAAUAGAAAACAACAAAACAAUGUGGGAAACAUUAUUAAUAAUUCACGUCUGUUAAUCUGAGGAAGGUCACGAUCUCUUCAUCGCUCCGCACGAUGCGUAUGUUUUCCUCUGCUAUUUUUCCUCUCUCCAGUGGAGUGGAAACUUCAGUGGACAUUCAAGUCACAUGCCUCAUGUACGUCAUGAUUUAUUUAUCAAUUAACUUUCCUACGAACGUUCUCACAUUUUGCAAAUGGAAAAUGCAUCAGGUGGAUGGAAAACCCACCUACGUCCAUGUCAUGCAAAACUGAUACAUAUGUAUUGUAUUGUGAUGUGACAGCAUGUUGGAUUAUGGGUAACUGCAUUUCUAUUCUAUUCUAUCUUAUUCACAGUUUUAGAUUGGCAGUCCUGCUGCUCAUAUUUGACUUCACAUGCUGUAACCAUGGCAACAAUAAACCUUGAACAGCUCACAAGUAUUGGUGAACUUAACUCUUAAAAGUAUUGAUGAGCUACCAAUUAAAUUUGGCAAGAUUUUAAAAAGAUGUUUUUUUCUUACAUACGUUCUUUGGUAAAGAGAAGUACUGAUACUGUAGUUGUACUUUAUACCCUCU
ensembl:lncRNA